AGCUCGGCUGAAGUGGAAGAACAGGUUAAGCAACAUAGAAUAUAUACGUACAUAUAUUUACAAAUGUUUUGCAUCCUUCGAAUAUCGCGAUAAUACGGGACACGAUACGGUAUAUUACGUUCUAUCAGUGACCGUAUAUUAUGUAUUUAUACUCUGUUAGCGCGCGGAUGUUUCUUCGUUUUAUCGAUCGAUUUGAAUAAUUAAUUUUUUCAAUUCUCCUAUUAAUGUUUAUCGAGUUAUAAUAUUGAAAUUCAAUCAAAUUAUAAUGAAACUAUAAUGAAAAGUAUGGAAAUUUAAUAUCGAUUGUUAUCAUCGAUUUUUGACCACGUGAUGUUACCCUCGGAGUAUCGAUUAUUCGUCACUAAUACAACGCCAACUACGCGUGCGCCAUGACAGUUAGGAUUCAAAGAGUAAGCGUGAUAAAUGUAGUCGUUUAUUACAAGCAUUUUAAUUGUGAAUUAAAACAGAAAACUAGUGCGAUUAUACAGAAUAUGCUAUGGUACAUCAUGUUCUAUCAAUGGCCGUACAUAAUGUGACGUUACAAUCGAAUUAUCGAUUAUCGCUCGCGACAAACGGCGUCAUGGCAGUAGCACGCAGUAGCAACCAAACAGUGAACGUGAUAAAGAAAUUCACAUAGAAGAAUUACAGAAGUGAAUCAAACUAAGAAAACGACGCUACUUAAGUGCUACAAUACUAAGUUACUGAAUUAUGGAGCACCGCUUCCGGUCACCACGAGUUCAAGCAUUUCUGGAUUGUGCACCGGUCUUUCUGGCACGAUACAACCUAAAACAAUUGGACCUCGAGUCGAGCUUUCCAGUUGCAUCAAACCACCAUAUUCCCUUGGCAAAGGUAC